rnacentral:rRNA from 1 species
GGGUGGGUCUAGGUAUAAGCACUCUUGUACCGUGAAACUGCGAAUGGCUCAUUAAAUCAGUUAUCGUUUAUUUGAUAGUACCCUACUACAUGGAUACCUGUGGUAAUUCUAGAGCUAAUACAUGCGCAAAACCCCGACUUCGGAAGGGGUGUAUUUAUUAGAUAAAAAACCAAUGCCCCUCGGGGCUCCUUGGUGAUUCAUAAUAACUUCACGAAUCGCAUGGCCUUGCGCCGGCGAUGGUUCAUUCAAAUUUCUGCCCUAUCAACUUUCGAUGGUAGGAUAGUGGCCUACCAUGGUGGCAACGGGUAACGGGGAAUUAGGGUUCGAUUCCGGAGAGGGAGCCUGAGAAACGGCUACCACAUCCAAGGAAGGCAGCAGGCGCGCAAAUUACCCAAUCCCGAUACGGGGAGGUAGUGACAAUAAAUACUGAUACAGGGCUCUUUUGGGUCUUGUAAUUGGAAUGAGAACAAUCUAAAUCCCUUAACGAGGAACAAUUGGAGGGCAAGUCUGGUGCCAGCAGCCGCGGUAAUUCCAGCUCCAAUAGCGUAUAUUAAAGUUGUUGCAGUUAAAAAGCUCGUAGUUGAACCUUGGGCCCGUCCUGCCGGUCCGCCUCACCGCGAGUACUGGUCCGGAUGGGCCUUUCUUUCUGGGGAAUCCCAUGGCCUUCACUGGCUGUGGCGGGGAACCACGACUUUUACUGUGAAAAAAUUUAGAGUGUUCAAAGCAGGCCUUUGCUCUGAUACAUUAGCAUGGAAUAAUA